UACGAAGGGGGCUAGCGUUGCUCGGAAUCACUGGGCGUAAAGGGUGCGUAGGCGGGUCUUUUAAGUCAGGGGUGAAAUCCUGGAGCUCAACUCCAGAACUGCCUUUGAUACUGAGGAUCUUGAGUUCGGGAGAGGUGAGUGGAACUGCGAGUGUAGAGGUGAAAUUCGUAGAUAUCGGGAGGAACACCAGUGGCGAAGGCGGCGACCUGGACGGACACUGACGCUGAGACGCGAAAGCGUGGGGGAGCAAACAGG
rnacentral:rRNA from 1 species